CAGCAGCAGCCGCGGUAAUACAGAGGGUGCAAGCGUUAAUCGGAAUUACUGGGCGUAAAGCGCGCGUAGGUGGUUUGUUAAGUUGGAUGUGAAAGCCCCGGGCUCAACCUGGGAACUGCAUCCAAAACUGGCAAGCUAGAGUACGGUAGAGGGUGGUGGAAUUUCCUGUGUAGCGGUGAAAUGCGUAGAUAUAGGAAGGAACACCAGUGGCGAAGGCGACCACCUGGACUGAUACUGACACUGAGGUGCGAAAGCGUGGGGAGCAAACAGGAUUAGAGACCCCGGUAGUCCCUGUCUCUUAUAC
rnacentral:rRNA from 1 species